rnacentral:rRNA from 1 species
AUACGGAGGGUGCAAGCGUUACUCGGAAUCACUGGGCGUAAAGCGCGCGCAGGCGGCUUGAUAAGUUGGAUGUGAAAGCCUACGGCUCAACCGUAGAACUGCAUCCAAAACUGUCAGGCUAGAGUGUGGGAGAGGAAGAUGGAAUUAGUUGUGUAGGGGUAAAAUCCGUAGAGAUAACUAGGAAUACCAAAAGCGAGGGCAAUCUUCUGGAACACUACUGACGCUGAGGCGCGAAGGCGAGGGGAGCAAACAGGAUUAGAUACCCGAGUAGUCC